rnacentral:pre_miRNA from 1 species
AUAUGAUGUCAAUCAUUCUGUCCAAUAUAUGAUGUCAAUCAUUCUGUCCAAUAUAUGAAUGAUUGACAUCAUAUAUAGGACAGAAUGAUUGACAUCAUA